UGGGGAAUAUUGGACAAUGGGCGAAAGCCUGAUCCAGCAACGCCGCGUGGAGGAUGAAGGUCUUCGGAUUGUAAACUCCUGUCAGAUGGGAAGAACGACUGUCGGCAAAUAGUCGAUAGUCUUGACUGUACCAUCGGAGGAAGCCCCGGCUAACUCUGUGCCAGCAGCCGCGGUAAUACAGAGGGGGCAAGCGUUAUUCGGAAUUAUUGGGCGUAAAGGGCGCGUAGGUGGCCUGGUAAGUCAACGGUGAAAUCCCUCGGCUCAACCGAGGAACUGCCUUUGAUACUGCCAGGCUUGAGGCCGGGAGAGGGUAGCGGAAUUCCCAGUGUAGCGGUGAAAUGCGUAGAUAUUGGGAGGAACACCGGUGGCGAAGGCGGCUACCUGGACCGGUUCUGACACUGAGGCGCGAAAGCGUGGGGAUCAAACAGGAUUAGAUACCCCUGUAGUCCCUGAGCGGGCUGGCAAGGCGCAU
rnacentral:rRNA from 1 species